AGUCAUGUUGACACUGGUCCACUACCAGGUCAUGUGUCUUCUCAGUCAUGUUGACACUGGUCCACUACCAGGUCAUGUGUCUUCUCAGUCAUGUUGACACUGGUCCACUACCAGGUCAUGUGUCUUCUCAGUCAUGUUGACACUGGUCCACUACCAGGUCAUGUGUCUUCUCAGUCAUGUUGACACUGGUCCACUACCAGGUCAUGUGUCUUCUCAGUCAUGUUGACACUGGUCCACUACCAGGUCAUGUGUCUUCUCAGUCAUGUUGACACUGGUCCACUACCAGGUAAUGUGUCUUCUCAGUCAUGUUGACACUGGUCUACUACCAGGUCAUGUGUCUUCUCAGUCAUGUUGACACUGGUCUACUACCAGGUCAUGUGUCUUCUCAGUCAUGUUGACACUGGUCCACUACCAGGUCAUGUGUCUUCUCAGUCAUGUUGACACUGGUCUACUACCAGGUCAUGUGUCUUCUCAGUCA